UACGUAGGGGGCAAGCGUUGUCCGGAUUUAUUGGGCGUAAAGAGCUCGUAGGUGGUUCGGUAAGUCGGAUGUGAAAUCUCCAGGCUCAACCUGGAGGGGUCAUUCGAUACUGCCGUGACUAGAGGUCGGUAGGGGAGUGUGGAAUUCCUGGUGGAGCGGUGAAAUGCGCAGAUAUCAGGAGGAACACCCGUAGCGAAGGCGGCACUCUGGGCCGAUACUGACACUGAGGAGCGAAAGCGUGGGGAGCGAGCAGG
rnacentral:rRNA from 1 species